UCAAGAAUAUCCUCAUAACUUCCUGAAAAAGUCUUCAAUGACAACUGUAUUUGAGGUCUUAAAAAUCUGACCUAAUGAAAAUUAGAUCAUUCACAGUGUUGCUUAUUGCCUUUAAUCCUUGCUGAGGGUCUGUUGUGGGGCAGACACCGUGCUAGGGGGUGGGGGAAGAGUCGAAGAACGGAACACAGUUCGUAUCUUCCAGAGGCUCACAGGAGAAUGGAAUCAGAAAGAAUUUGCCAAGCGUCGGCUAAAUAAAUAAAUAAAUAAAUAAAAAUA